UACGUAGGGACCAAGCGUUAUCCGGAAUUACUGGGCGUAAAGGGUGCGCAGGCGGGCAUGCAAGUCUGACGUGAAAGCCCCGAGCUUAACUCGGGAAGUGCGCCGGAUACUGCAUGUCUUGAGGACCAGAGAGGCAGAGGGAAUUCCUGGUGUAGCGGUGAAAUGCAUAGAUAUUACAUAGAAUACCGAUUGCGAAGGCAGAUCACUAAUAAUUUACUGACGCUGAGGGACGAAAGCGUAGGUAGCGAACAGG
rnacentral:rRNA from 1 species